rnacentral:rRNA from 1 species
AAUCAACGCUGGCGGCGUGCCUAACACAUGCAAGUCGAACGCGAAAGUGGAGCAAUCCAUGAGUAGAGUGGCAAACGGGUGAGUAACACGUGGGUGACCUGCCUUCGAGCGGGGGAUAACGUCCCGAAAGGGACGCUAAUACCGCAUAACAUCCUGCCUUUGAACAGGCGGAGAUCAAAGCUGGGGAUCGCAAGACCUAGCACUUGAAGAGGGGCCCGCGUCCGAUAGCUAGUUGGUGAGGUAACGGCUCACCAAGGCAACGAUCGGUAGCCGGCCUGAGAGGGCGGACGGCCACACUGGGACUGGAGAC